UACGGGGGGAGCAAGCGUUGUUCGGAUUUACUGGGCGUAAAGGGCGCGUAGGCGGUCAGCACAAGUCAGUUGUGAAAUCUCCGGGCUUAACUCGGAAAGGUCAACUGAUACUGUGCGACUAGAGUGCAGAAGGGGCAACUGGAAUUCUCGGUGUAGCGGUGAAAUGCGUAGAUAUCGAGAGGAACACCUGCGGCGAAGGCGGGUGCUGGGCUGACACUGACGCUGAUGCGCGAAGCCAG
rnacentral:rRNA from 1 species